rnacentral:lncRNA from 1 species
AGACUCUGCGGGAUCAAUAUCAUUGAAAUCAAUGUUUUUAGAAGCCUCGUUAUGCAUUGAUAUUUGCCAAUCUGGAAGGGAGGCAGUACCAACCUUUUUAGUUUGAAAACCUUCUGAAGUAUCUAAAGGAUUCUCUAAUACUGGUAUCGAAGAGUUUGAUGUGGUAGCGAAAGUGUCGUCUUUUUUUGAAUCAGUUUGUAAACAUCGUAGAGAGCUAAUUUCUCUCGAAAGGUUUUGUAAUGCUUCUUCUUGAGAUUUCUUAAUUUGCUCAAGACUUUGUGGUAAAGUAAUAGUACUCAUGGUAUAUACAUCUUGUGAGAUUCUAGCUAUUUCACGAUCUCGGUUUUCGGACGUACGCUUCAAAGUAUUCAACGUCUCUUCUAAAUCAUCUAACGCAAUGUCCAAUUCAUCUUGCUGUUUUUCAGUUCUCUCGGAAAGCUUUCUUGUUUGUUCAUCUAAAUUUUCGAGUAUUUUAUGAGCUUCUAGAAAUUUAGCAUCCAAAGCGUUUUUAUCAGCUUCAUAAGCGUUUUGAGAUGGUGCGCGAAACAUUGGUGCUAUGUAUUUCUAAAUUUAAUUAUGUUAAAACAGCACGAAUAUUUUAAAUGUUCAGUUUUUUGAACGUACCUUUACUAAUGAAUACGCCGACCAUGCAAAUCCAGUCGAAAUAACGCCCAUAAUAAACCAAUCUCUCCAAUCUCUUGAAACAAAAUUACUAGUGUUUUCAAAUCGAGGAUAAGAAGGGAAUAGCGGAUUUUUUGCUAGCUUGAAUGCUUCUUGAAUUUCUUCGGCAGUUAAACCUUUGGAUUUUAGAAAUUCAAUCUUUUUCACAUCAGGAGCAUCUAAUACAGUUUUUUCUCUUAAAAAUUCAACGGAGUUUCUUAACAAAUCCUCCCUCAUUUUUCAAAUUGACAAAUGCUUUGUACCGAAUUCGCUAGUUAGUAGUUGUAUGGAAAUAAGCAACUGAAAUAUAUUGAGUAAACUCCGGACUGCAAGAUAGUAAUUUCACGAUAAUUCUCUAAACAAGCUUGGAAAUGUCGAGGUUUAUGUUUUUUUAAGAAUGGGAUUACACAAUUGUUUAAUUUGUCAAAUUAAUUUGUGAAAGUACGCUAAUGAAUUGUUCUGGUUAUAUUACGCCGAAAGUUAUUAACUGACAAAUUAAAGAAAAAAUUGUUUCUUAUUGUUUGGUGGUUUAAUACAGUGUUAAAUAAAAAAAUUAUUUUUCGAAAGUUCAAUAGAAGGAACAAAAUAUUGACAAAACAAGUAAGCACAUGAUAUAUAUGUAAUUAUGGUAUCAAUCAUUCCUAAGCCCUAAAAACAAUUUCUAUUUUAUUAAAAAUAACCAUAUUUACAUUAUCUAGAAGGCCUAACCUGUCUAACAUUGAAGUUCACUCGCUUUCUUGAAAUCCAUCCAUCCCAAGCCUUGUUUCCAGUCAAUAGGUAAUUAGGCGUAGAGUUGGGUAUAAUCUUAGGAACAGCUGCGGUAAGUUAGUAAGCAAUCAAUUGACUAUAAAUGAGGUAUUUGAAUGAACAAUGCUUACCAUGGAAAGCCUUUCUAGAAGUUCCAGUCAUAAUUACAACGUCUCCACUGUGUAAACGUAAAGCUGAAGGCUUUUCCGACCUCGACUCGGUACCGAUCAAAUAUAUGCAAUCCAAACCCAUUGAGAGAGAAAUUAAUGGAAGUGUCAAAUCCUCUUCAGAUUCAUCGAUAUGUGCACUCAAUGUGUCACCAGGAGAAUAAAAAUUUACGAUUGCAGCUUCAGCUUUCCAAUGUAAAAAAUCUGUGCUCUCUUUAACAACCUUUUCAACAAAGUCACCUAAAUCUUUGGGAAACCCAGGAGAUUUGGAAGGAUCAGGAUACUCCUUCGUCGUCCAGUCAUACUGUUCACCUAGUGUAACCCAUCGAAGCUUUUUAUGAACUAGUCUGUCAACCGUCAAAGGCUUAGUUUCUCCAAGGCCGUCAAUGAUACUUUCUCCAUCACCAUUGUAAUAUCUGCGCCAUAUGCUAUCAUUACCUAAUGGUAGUUGAUAAAAUGGUGAAAGGUUGGUCUUGUUUUCAGGAUCUUGAAUUUGCGUAAACAUUAUAGAUUUUAACAGCUGCAUUUGCAGUUCCGAUGAAACAUAGUUUUUAAGAAUUAAUAAUCCAGGAGCUUUUUGAAAAGAAAAAACUCUAGGUUUAAUUUCAACUAAAGCUUCAAAUCCAAAAGACUGGGGAUCAUUAGGAUCAAGGACCUCAGACAUGUCAGGAAUUGUGUCGGCACGACAUUUAUAGCGUUUUUCUUCUAAACGAAAAACAUUCGCCUGUUCCAUGUUUCCCGCUAGCAUUUCAAUAAACUAACUUUAUGUGGAGAAAUCGACAGAUCAUUUAAUAGAGACUGAAUGAAAAAGUUUAGGCCACUUGCAAGGUUUUUCUCCCAGACAGUCAUAGAUAAUUAAAUACAGUAAGAACCAUAGUACAACUUAAUUCAAUUUUUACCAUAAUGCGUAAUAUUUAUUACCUU